rnacentral:tRNA from 1 species
GCUUCGGUGGUUCAGUGUUUAGAAUACUCACCUGUCACACGGGUGGCCCGGGUUCAAUUCCCCGCCGCCGCA